rnacentral:rRNA from 1 species
GACGAGGGGUCCAAGCGUUGUUCGGAAUCAUUGGGCGUAAAGCGGGUGUAGGCGGCCUUAUAAGUCAGAAGUGAAAGCCCCGAGCUUAACUCGGGAAGUGCUUUUGAUACUGCAAGGCUUGAAUGUGGGAGAGGAUAGUGGAAUUCCUGGUGUAGUGGUGAAAUGCGUAGAUAUCUGGAGGAAUACCGGUGGCGAAGGCGGCAUCCUGGACCGGCAUUGACGCUGAGGAGCGAAAGCCAGGGGAGCAAAGCGGG